rnacentral:rRNA from 1 species
UACGAAGGGGGCUAGCGUUGCUCGGAAUCACUGGGCGUAAAGGGUGCGUAGGCGGGUCUUUAAGUCAGGGGUGAAAUCCUGGAGCUCAACCCCAGAACUGCCUUUGAUACUGAGGAUCUUGAGUUCGGGAGAGGUGAGUGGAACUGCGAGUGUAGAGGUGAAAUUCGUAGAUAUUCGCAAGAACACCAGUGGCGAAGGCGGCUCACUGGCCCGAUACUGACGCUGAGGCACGAAAGCGUGGGGGGCAAACAGG